GACGUAGGGUCCAAGCGUUGUCCGGAUUUACUGGGCGUAAAGAGCGCGUAGGCGGUCUAUUAAGUGAGAAGUGAAAUCUCCAGGGCUCAACCCGGAAACUGCUUUUCAUACUGAUAGACCUGAGGGAUGCAGAGGUUUGUGGAAUUCCUGGUGUAACGGUGAAAUGUGUUGAUAUCAGGAGGAACACCCAUGGCGAAGGCAGCAAACUGGGCAUCAUCUGACGCUGAGGCGCGAAAGCGUGGGUAGCAAACAGG
rnacentral:rRNA from 1 species